UUUUCUUUGUUUAAUAAUUUCAUUAAAGAAAUUAUUUACUUUCUUUACUUAAAUAAAAUCUAAUUUUUUAGAUGACAUUAUGCGAGAUAUUUACAAAUUUCAAAUUAUAACAAAGCUCCCAGAAUUUGUUAGCCCUGGCUUUGCAUAUGACUGAGGAAGGCGAGAGAAACGAGGCUGACACCUCUCUGUCAACACAGGAAAAAGAUUUGAAAGAAAGGAGCACUAAGAUAAAGUCCACAGUAACACAGCCUAAUCAAUCCAGAGGAUAGCUCCAGUGCGUUAUUUGGGCCUUGGAUGAUUGUGUAGAAACAUUUUAGAAGGAAGCCCAACCAAGUUGAAGAUUUGGAAGAGAUGACUAAGCCCUUCUCCAUGGCUGAAGUUAAAGCCGCUCUUUUCUCGAUAGGUAAUUACAAGACGCUCGGCCUUAAUGGCUAUCCUAUGUUCUUCAAGUCAAACUGGGAGGAUUCGUUUGGAUCCUAAUAUGAUUAGCAGUAUAAAUCAAACCCUUAUUACUCUCAUCCCUAAGUGUGAUGAUCCUUCUGAGAUUGCACAGUUUCACCCCAUCUCCCUGUGCAACGUCACUUACAAGACUCUCACUAAAACCAUAGCCAAUAGAAGGAAGCACCUUUUACCUGGUAUUGUGGGACAUUUGCAAACUAAUUUUGUAAAGGGUAGGAAUUCUGUUGACAAUUAUGUUAUUUUGCAGGAAAUGGUCCAUUCGUUUAGCAACAUAAGAAAUGCCUCUGAUGCCUCUUGUUAAUGAUAUCCGAAAUCAACUACAGGGAAGCAAACAGAAGUGUGGAUUUCUUAGCCAAUCAUGGAGAUUUUCAGUUGACUGUUCUUGAUUCUCCUCCUCCUUUUCUUAGAUCUAUUAUAGCUGAGGAGGCCAGAGGUGUUCUUUUCAAGCGCUUUGUUGCGUUGUAGUUGUCGUCUUUCUUUUAUUCAUUAUAAAAAAUAAUCAUCAAAUAAGCAUAUGUAUACAAAAAAGCAGCAUAUAUGCAUAUCGGGAAAAAAAUUACUUUUGAAACUGCAUAAUUUUUGUUGUGCUGUGUAAGGAUGGCGUGUCUAAAUCUCUUGCUAGAGAAAAAAAAGAAAGAGAAAAGAGUUUAUUGGCCCCAACACAAUUAUUAUUGGCCCCUACCAAGUGGCCGAAACUUUUUUUUUUUAUUUUAUUUUAAAAUGUCCUUCUCACAUAAUAA